rnacentral:rRNA from 1 species
GAUGAACGCUGGCGGCGUGCCUAAUACAUGCAAGUCGAGCGAACGGACGAGAAGCUUGCUUCUCUGAUGUUAGCGGCGGACGGGUGAGUAACACGUGGAUAACCUACCUAUAAGACUGGGAUAACUUCGUGAAACCGUAGCUAAUACCGGAUAAUAUUUUGAACCGCAUGGUUCAAAAGUGAAAGACGGUCUUGCUGUCACUUAUAGAUGGAUCCGCGCUGCAUUAGCUAGUUGGUAAGGUAACGGCUUACCAAGGCAACGAUGCAUAGCCGACCUGAGAGGGUGAUCGGCCACACUGGAACUGAGACACGGUCCAGACUCCUACGGGAGGCAGCAGUAGGGAAUCUUCCGCAAUGGGCGAAAGCCUGACGGAGCAACGCCGCGUGAGUGAUGAAGGUCUUCGGAUCGUAAAACUCUGUUAUUAGGGAAGAACAGAUGUGUAAGUAACUGUGCACAUCUUGACGGUACCUAAUCAGAAAGCCACGGCUAACUACGUG